rnacentral:rRNA from 1 species
AUUGAACGCUGGCGGCAGGCCUAACACAUGCAAGUCGAACGGAGAGGCGGACGGGUGAGUAAUGUCUGGGAAACUGCCUGAUGGAGGGGGAUAACUCCUGGAAACGGUAGCUAAUACCGCAUACUAUCAGAUGAGCCUAGGUGGGAUUAGCUAGUUGGUGGGGUAAAGGCCUACCAAGGCGACGAUCCGUACCUGGUCGGAGAGGAUGAUCAGUCACACUGGGACUGAGACACGGUCCAGACUCCUACGGGAGGCAGCAGUGGGGAAUAUUGGACAAUGGGCGAAAGCCUGAUCCAGCCAUGCCGCGUGUGUGAAGAAGGUCUUCGGAUUGUAAAGCACUUUAAGUUGGGAGGCGUUACCAACAGAAUAAGCACCGGCUAACUACGUGCCAGCAGCCGCGGUAAUUC